rnacentral:tRNA from 1 species
CCUUCGAUAGCUCAGUUGGUAGAGCGGAGGACUGUAGUGGAAUCUUUCGCCUUGGAGGUAUCCUUAGGUCGCUGGUUCGAAUCCGGCUCGAAGGA